GGGGAGCCUGGCCGAAGGCCCACUGCCUGCAUGUGGGAGAAGUGGGAGCCUGCUGCGGGCUCCAGGAGGACUAGAUGGGCACCCUGGCGCGCUGGGCACAGAGCGGUUCUACAGCCCUGGAUGAUACUGCAGAGAAAGCGUAGCCAGCGCAGUCCCCGACGCCUGCAUUUGAACGGCCUUGAGUCAAACAUUUAUGGAGCCUAAACUGGAAGCAGCGAUGGCUUGAGAAAAUGUGGGCCUAAUCCAGUUAUGAACAUGCUGAGACCUAGGAGGCCAAGAGGACCCACCUCAAACCCUUCCCCAGUAAGGGCUGAUGUGACAUCCCGGCAAACCCACUUCCUCGGGGCAGGAGAUGCCUCCUCGGCAGAGUCCUGUUUCUGAAAUCUGUGCAAUGUGUCCAGGUGAGUAACAAUCAGGGCACUGUGAGGGAGAGCUGGGGGUACCGAGAGGCACGGGGUG
rnacentral:lncRNA from 1 species